UACGUAGGUGACAAGCGUUGUCCGGAUUUACUGGGCGUAAAGCGCGCGCAGGCGGUCCGCGAGGUGUCACGUGAAAGCCCCGGGCUCAACUCGGGAGGGUCGUGGCAAACCGGCGGACUUGAGGCCGGUAGAGGUGGGUGGAACUCCUGGUGGAGUGGUGAAAUGCGUAGAGAUCAGGAAGAACACCCGUGGCGAAGGCGGCCCACUGGGCCGGAACUGACGCUGAGGCGCGAAGGCGUGGGGAGCGAACGGG
rnacentral:rRNA from 1 species